rnacentral:rRNA from 1 species
AUCACUUUGGGAUGGACCUGCGGCGCAUUAGCUUGUUGGUAGGGUAACGGCCUACCAAGGCUGUGAUGCGUAGCCGAGUUGAGAGACUGAUCGGCCACAAUGGAACUGAGACACGGUCCAUACUCCUACGGGAGGCAGCAGUAGGGAAUCUUCCACAAUGGGCGCAAGCCUGAUGGAGCAACACCGCGUGAGUGAAGAAGGGUUUCGGCUCGUAAAGCUCUGUUGUUAGAGAAGAACGUGCGUGAGAGCAACUGUUCACGCAGUGACGGUAUCUAACCAGAAAGUCACGGCUAACUACGUGCCAGCAGCCGCGGUAAUACGUAGGUGGCAAGCGUUAUCCGGAUUUAUUGGGCGUAAAGCGAGCGCAGGCGGUUUGAUAAGUCUGAUGUGAAAGCCUUUGGCUUAACCAAAGAAGUGCAUCGGAAACUGUCAGACUUGAGUGCAGAAGAGGACAGUGGAACUCCAUGUGUAGCGGUGGAAUGCGUAGAUAUAUGGAAGAACACCAGUGGCGAAGGCGGCUGUCUGGUCUGCAACUGACGCUGAGGCUCGAAAGCAUGGGUAGCGAACAGGAUUAGAUACCCUGGUAGUCCAUGCCGUAAACGAUGAGUACUAGGUGUUGGAGGGUUUCCGCCCUUCAGUGCC